CUGCUGCCCCAUCCAAGGUUUAGUAGCACUAGGCUAGGGGUAAGAGGACAGUUUUUUGAAUUUUAUGUUAACAUUGCCAUAAUGAUGUUUGUUUAAUAAAUACAUACUGGAAGGGGAAAACUCCUUAAUAUUUAGCAUCUAACAACCCUUACUACCAAGAGUUAAAAUUUAUUCAGCUCUCAUUAAUAUGAAAAAUUUUUUAAAGCCACAGAACUCAUUUUUCUUCUCCAAUCUAUUAUAGAAGAGAAAACUGAAUUUCUGAGUAUGUGGACACUUAACUUGGCUUUGAGCGUGACUAUUACAAAUAACUGAUGAAAUCAGUCUGAGAAAAAUAUCUAAAAUAUCUAUCCCCACAAAUACCCAUUUAAAAUGUACACUUUGCAUAUCUUCAAAAUAACUUUAUAUAUA
rnacentral:lncRNA from 1 species